rnacentral:rRNA from 1 species
AGGACGAACGCUGGCGGCGUGCUUAACACAUGCAAGUCGAGCGGUGAUCCUCCUUCGGGAGGUGAUCAGCGGCGAACGGGUGAGUAACACGUGGGCAACCUGCCCCUCACACUGGGAUAACCUCGGGAAACCGGGGCUAAUACCGGAUACGACCUCGAGCGGCAUCUCUUGAGGUGGAAAGCUCCGACGGUGAGGGAUGGGCCCGCGGCCUAUCAGCUUGUUGGUGGGGUAAUGGCCUACCAAGGCUACGACGGGUAGCUGGUCUGAGAGGACGACCAGCCACACUGGGACUGAGACACGGCCCAGACUCCUACGGGAGGCAGCAGUGGGGGAAUCUUGCGCAAUGGGCGAAAGCCUGACGCAGCAACGCCGCGUGAGGGAUGAAGGUCUUCGGGUUGUAAACCUCUUUCGAGCGAGGGACGAUUGUGACGGUACCUGCAGAGAGCUCCGGCCAACUACGUGCCAGCAGCCGC